rnacentral:rRNA from 1 species
GAUGAACGCUGGCGGCGUGCCUAAUACAUGCAAGUCGAGCGAGCGUCGGACGGGUGAGUAACACGUGAUAACCUACCUUUAAGACUGGGAUAACUACUGGAAACGGUAGCUAAUACCGCAUACCAUCAGUUGUGUCCCGAGGGGAUUAGCUAGUAGGUGGGGUAACGGCUAACCUAGGCGACGAUCCCUAGCUGGUCUGAGAGGAUGACCAGCCAAACUGGAACUGAGACACGGUCCAGACUCCUACGGGAGGCAGCAGUGGGGAAUAUUGCACAAUGGGCGCAAGCCGGAUGCAGCCAUGCCGCGUGUGUGAAGAAGGCCUUCGGGUUGUAAAGCACUUUCAGCGGGGAGGCGUUACCCGCAGAAGAAGCACCGGCUAACUCCGUGCCAGCAGCCGCGGUAAUUC